AGAGUUUGAUCCUGGCUCAGAACGAACGCUGGCGGCGUGCCUAACACAUGCAAGUCGAACGUGAUUAGAGAGCUUGCUCUCUAUGAAAGUGGCGCACGGGUGAGUAACGCGUAGAUAAUCUGCCUGGUGAUUUGGGAUAACACUUCGAAAGGGGUGCUAAUACCGAAUAAGCCCACGGAGUCCUUGGAUUCUGCGGGAAAAGGAGGGGACCUUCGGGCCUUCCGUCAUCAGAUGAGUCUGCGUACCAUUAGCUAGUUGGUAGGGUAAAGGCCUACCAAGGCGACGAUGGUUAGCUGGUCUGAGAGGAUGAUCAGCCACACUGGAACUGAGACACGGUCCAGACUCCUACGGGAGGCAGCAGUGGGGAAUUUUGCGCAAUGGGGGAAACCCUGACGCAGCAACGCCGCGUGAGUGAUGAAGGCCCUUGGGUCGUAAAGCUCUGACAGAGGGAAAGAAAUGUGGGUGGCUAAUAUCCAUUCCACUUGACGGUACCCUCAAAGGAAGCACCGGCUAACUCCGUGCCAGCAGCCGCGGUAAUACGGAGGGUGCGAGCGUUGUUCGGAUUUAUUGGGCGUAAAGCGCGUGUAGGCGGUUUUAUAAGUCUGAUGUGAAAGCCCCGGGCUCAACCUGGGAAGUGCAUUGGAUACUGUAAGACUUGAAUACGGGAGGGGGCAGUGGAAUUCCGAGUGUAGGAGUGAAAUCCGUAGAUAUUCGGAGGAACACCGGUGGCGAAGGCGGCUGCCUGGACCGAUAUUGACGCUGAGACGCGAAAGCGUGGGUAGCAAACAGGAUUAGAUACCCUGGUAGUCCACGCUGUAAACGAUGAGUACUAGGUGUUGCGGGUAUUGACCCCUGCAGUG
rnacentral:rRNA from 1 species